AAAGGUUUUGGUAGUGGUGUAUUACUGAUGGUUGCAAUAUUUCUUUCUGAGCAUUCUGGGUCUUUGUCCUCUUCAAUUUUAACAGAAGGGAUACUGUUUCCAGUAAGCGGCGAAUUAGACGUGUAUAGCGCGAGUUGGUAAAAAUAUUAAGUGAAUGGCGAGUGAAGUGAGCGGUAUGAGUGAUGAAAGAAGAGACAAGAAGAAGCAUGUAUACAAUAGUUAAUGUGAAAAAGCAGGAAAUUUAGUAUUACACAGUUACAAAAUACUGAACUGAAAAUACCAGCAUAUAACUUCAAUGAAGAAAUUAAUGAAGAAUUGUUCAUAUACCGUUUUACAAUCUUCACCAACAUCUGGUUCAUUUGAAACUUCCAAUUGAAAUUCUGGCAGACAUAGACUUUUAUUGAAGAAAAUUCCGAAACUAGCAUAAGAAAAAUAUAUGCUCUAGGAAUCGGUACUUUCAUCUGAAGAAUGCUUUAUAAGCAGUUACUUUAUUCACACUUGUUAUGUGUGAAUAAAGGGUACUUAAACCACUUGCAUAGACCUCUCGAUCCAUCGAUUUAAACCCGUUGGUUUUUGUGGAGACAUUUGAAAAGUAAAGCAUAUUCUUCGCCGAUAAAUGACUUAAAAGAACUACGCAAUCGAAUCCACUAUGCUUGCCAAAUAUUCGGACAAAGAUAUUUUAUUAGAGUUCUUUAACAUAUUGUAAACUGUAGCUCUAGAAGAAAAGCUAGAAAGAGCAGAAUUACAGCUUAGCCGCUGUAUUUGUAGACUCGUACCACGUCAAUGUGCUACGUCAUUUGAUCUAAUUUAUAUCACAAACACACAGAAAGUAAAUAUAAAGCUAAAUUGGCUUAAAUUGUAAAUUACUCAUUAAUGACUAAAUAUGGAUCUAUACAUAAAAGAUAAGAUUACGUCGGAGACUUGUUACAAUUAUUAUAGAAGAAAUCGAUGGGCGUUAAUCAUUUGUUAGAACAAGUGCAAUAGAAGUAUAUAAUAUGGAUCUCAGGUUUGAACAGAUGUACUCGUAACUAUACAUGUAAUGCCGACGAAAA